UACCGAAUUGGUUAAAACGUUCCCUUGUCACGCCGAAGACUCGGAUUUGAUUCGAUUCGGUAUAAUGUGUUGAGCCAAAUUCUGGUGUCCCCUGCCCUGAUAUUGCUGGAAUAUUUUUAAUGGCGGCGUAAAACACUACUCACUCGCUUACUCGAACAAAGCAAGGUUGGGUUUAUAGCAGCUGUGUGUUCAUGUGUGAUGGAGGAACAGUCCAUACGAACCUCAGAAGUAUUCACGAUGAAAUACAGUCUGUGUCCUGCCUGCAUCAAGGACACGAGAUUUGUCUUAAGAAAUGUAAUAUGUUAAUUGCAUCCGAGUGCUUGAUAUGUUGAAUACGGUACAACGUUUAUGAUGUAUGUAUAUAAGACCUUCAGUUGUAUAUGAGGUGGUCCAAUGGUGUUGUCAGAGUUUGGCCUUUUUUAGCUGUAAAUAAACUGGACAAUUUGGAACUUUGUAGCAGGUGGUACAAUUGGUUGAAUUAUUCAUGGGUUUUUGAAAACAGUAUCGUUUGAUAAUUAUUGAAUUAUUUGUAAGAUCAGUGGAUCUGUUAAAUGUCUCUCUUAUUGAAAAUAUGACAGUCGUCAUGCCGAGACAGCAGGUAGAGACAAGACGAUUGUCUUUGCUAGAUUUUCAGAUCUGUGGUAUGUUUUGGAUCUGUGAUAAGUCUUCAUGUCACAUGGUGAUAGUCAUACAGUUUUGUGUAGAUACAGGCGUUCCAAUCUAUUAAUUAAACAAUAUUUAAAGAAGUAAAUGAUGAAAUAUGAGAAGAGGAGUUGAAAAGGAUUGGGUUGAAGGAGCUGGAUGUGAAGGGUGAGUUAUGCAGAGGUUGAAGUGUGAGACAUUUAAAGAGUGAAGGGGUGAGCUGUAAAGGAUAAGGUGGAAGCAGUGAUACGUAAAGGGAGAGUUAUGCUGAGUUUCAAGGCUGAGACAUGUAAGGGGGAUCUGUAAAAGAGAAACAGGUGAGCUGUGAAGGGGUGAGCUGUAAAGGGUGAAGGGGUGAGCUGUAAAGGGUGAAGGGGUGAGCUGUAAAGGGUGAAGCGGUGAGGUGUAAAGGAUAAGGGUGAGGUGUAAAGGAUGUAUAGUGAAAUCUAUUGGUUGAAACACUGAAAAAGUAAAGAAACAGGGACCGAGACACAAAAGCAAGAAAACAACUGAUUGGUGGACUUCCUUUUGAACUCCAUUUUAGCAGAAAUUAAUCUGUCAAGACAAGGGGAUUAUACUUUCCUACCACUAAUUAGACAAACUGUCACAGAUUUGAUUUGUACCAUAGAUCUGAGGUCUGCAAAUUUAGGAGACCACAGUGAUACGAAGACAAGCUGAAAGGAUUGUCAAUCAGAUGUACAGAUUUCAUCUGCAGUCGUCCAGUAAACUGUCAUAUUAUCGUCGGGUCUGUGAAAGAAUUUUGAAAUUUGCCAAAAAUGUUUGAGGAUGUUACAAGUUUGAAAGUUUUCUUUUUGAACAAAUUGGUGAACAAUACGUUGGAGAACUUCCUGUCUGUUAUGUAAAUAUUGUUGUAACCUAUUACUACUGGGAGUAUCACGAUAAUAUAUAUAUAUAUAUGUGUGAUAUGGGUUAACAAAUAUUGUAAUGAGAUCUUCUUGAUGGUCUCUGUUAGCUUGUUUGCAUCUGAUGUUGAAAGACAGGAUUAUUAAAAUGUUCAUUUGCUUUGUAUUGUUUACGUAUAUUUGGAGAAGAAUACCAACUUUUUUCAGAUUGCCGGUAGUAUUGAGCUUGUUGGAUGUUUUCCGGGCAAUAUUAGUUUGAGCUGAUUCAUAAAUCAGUUUUAUGUCUUAAUUCUAAAAAUUAUUAAUUAGCUUUGCUUACAAGAGAUUAACAACUUGGUUAUUCAUUCUUUAAAUUUGAAGUGAUUAAUUUUAUUAUUCUUGUGUUUAUUAAUAAAUUUGAUAUGUAUUGCCGUUUGCUUUAUGUGGUGUAGAUGAGUUCUCUUCCAACUACUGCAGUGAAACCUUGUUAAACUGGACCUUGUUAAACAGGACCUUGUUAAUCAGGACCUUGAUAAUCUGAAAACCUUAUCAUUCAGGGCGAUUACUGCUUUUGCACUUCCAUGCACACACAGUGACAUUACUCUAAAAAAUCAGUGAAAAAUCUUUGAAAUUUAAAAGAUUUGAGUUUUUUUCUUUGUUGUCCUGAUUAACAGGUGUUCACUGUACAUGUGGGGACCAUAUCAUGACUUCAGAAACUUAUUUAUGGGAAACCUUGAUAGGCUUUUUCAAAAGGAGGCAGUGUAUUUUAAUGCAAGUCCCUAAAUUUCAAGAUAAAAUGGAAAAGGCUGUGGCUAAGCCAACACUGAUGCAAAGUUCUAAUAGAAAUUUUCAACAGAUGUUGAACAUGGGUAUUUUUUUGUCGACAAAAGUACCUUCUGUACAGGCAAUACUAACAUAGUGUCAUCUAUAUACGUAGUUUUUUGGGAAGUGCUGGUAAUUUUUGUGUUAUGCUCAGUUGUGUUUUUGUGCUCACUACGACCAUUAAUUCAUUCCAACAUUCCAGUCCUGUGAUGUACGAGGCUUUGGUAGUGUGUGUAGUCAGUAGACUUGAGGCAAGGCAGUGCCGGGAGUGGAGAGUUAAUUAAUACAGAUAUGUUGCAGAAAUGAUUAUUUCUACAAUUAUCGUUACUGUGAUGUGAAUCUGGGAUAUAGGAUCUUAAUCUCCCUGAAAUUUGGUUUCAAUCUCCAGAGGCGGUGGUUAAAGCGUUCGCUCGUCACGCGGAUUCCCAACAUGGGUACAAUGUGUGAAGCCCAUUUCUGGUAUCCCCCGCCAUGAUAUUGCUGGAAUAUUACUAAAAGUGGCAUAAAAGUUCACUCACUCAAAUCUCCAUAUUUAUGACUAAUGUUAAGACCUUGUAAUAGGAAUCUGAUUUCUCCGUCACAGGACCAAUAUAGGGAAAGAGGAUUUACAUUAAUAGUGUAAAAAUAAAUCCCAAAAUCCCAGGUUCAUUCAGUUUUUCCCAAGAUCAGUUGAUUUGGAAUCCGAUAUGAAUUAAGAAGACUCCCACCCACUCACUGCCUUGUCUUGUGUCUGUUUCCAUGUUGAGUAUACUGGAAAUUCUGUGCCCAACAAAGGCAGCUUUUGGUCUGCGAUUUGCUUUUUGUGCAAUUUGUGUGCGUGUGUGCUUGUAUAUCGUUGGUGGUAGCUUAAGUUUGAACUGAAGAAAAUCAAACAUUCUCAACCUGGGCCUGUUCCACAAAACGAUCUUAACGAUAACUCUACAUCGACCAGAGUUGUGGUAUCCGUAACAGCAGGAUUGCUUUGUGGAACGAAAAUAUUUAUUCUAAUCUGACUUGCAACGAUGAAUUUUGUACUCUAAUUAGCAUGUACCAGAAUAGCCACUGUUGAACAGUAUAGAAGUCAUUUGGUUAAUAUACUGAAAUUUCCUUAAACAAAUGUGUUCCAGUACCAACAUGUCAUUGAUGUUAUAGUUUGAUGCUCAUUAUGUCAAUCACUGGUUCUGUGGUCCAGACUUAAUUAUACAUAGCUGGAAUAUUGCUGAGUGUGGCGUUAAACAACAAACACUGGAAAAAGUCCAAAAGUGACAAUCCUAGUCCCAUUAGACGAAAUGCACAAGUAGUAUGGUUGCUUCUAAAAUGGCAACCAAUUCUUUUUCUAAUGUUUGGGACUCAGGUCUCACACCAGGGUAGUCUGAGAGGCCAAUGUUUGUAUAGUUGAUGUGACGCACAACGCUGUUUGUACUGUUUGCUUCUUGUGUAGACAUUUGCCUUGCUUCAGUUUUCACUGUUAUGAUGUACAUAUCGGACAUAUAUUUUAAGAGCAAUCACCACUGUGAGAAUAAAAAUCUAUCAUUUUUUA